rnacentral:rRNA from 1 species
AUACGGAGGGUGCAAGCGUUGUUCGGAAUUACUGGGCGUAAAGCGCGCGUAGGCGGUCUGUUAUGUCAGAUGUGAAAGUCCUCGGCUCAACCGGGGAAGUGCAUUUGAAACUGGCAGACUUGAGUACUGGAGGGGGUGGUGGAAUUCCCGGUGUAGAGGUGAAAUUCGUAGAUAUCGGGAGGAAUACCGGUGGCGAAGGCGACCACCUGGCCAGAUACUGACGCUGAGGUGCGAAAGCGUGGGGAGCAAACAGGAUUAGAUACCCCGGUAGUCC